AUUGAACGCUGGCGGCAUGCUUUACACAUGCAAGUCGAACGGUAACAGGCCGCAAGGUGCUGACGAGUGGCGAACGGGUGAGUAAUGCAUCAGAACGUGCCCAGUCGUGGGGGAUAACGCAGCGAAAGCUGUGCUAAUACCGCAUACGAUCUAUGGAUGAAAGCGGGGGACCGUAAGGCCUCGCGCGAUUGGAGCGGCCGAUGUCAGAUUAGGUAGUUGGUGGGGUAAAGGCCUACCAAGCCAACGAUCUGUAGAGGGUCUGAGAGGACGACCAGCCACACUGGGACUGAGACACGGCCCAGACUCCUACGGGAGGCAGCAGUGGGGAAUUUUGGACAAUGGGCGCAAGCCUGAUCCAGCAAUGCCGCGUGCAGGAAGAAGGCCUUCGGGUUGUAAACUGCUUUUGUACGGAACGAAACGGUCUGGGUUAAUACCCUGGGCUAAUGACGGUACCGUAAGAAUAAGCACCGGCUAACUACGUGCCAGCCGCCGCCGUAACAC
rnacentral:rRNA from 1 species